rnacentral:rRNA from 1 species
UGCAGUCGAGCGAAUGGAUUAAGAGCUUGCUCUUAUGAAGUUAGCGGCGGACGGGUGAGUAACACGUGGGUAACCUGCCCAUAAGACUGGGAUAACUCCGGGAAACCGGGGCUAAUACCGGAUAACAUUUUGAACCGCAUGGUUCGAAAUUGAAAGGCGGCUUCGGCUGUCACUUAUGGAUGGACCCGCGUCGCAUUAGCUAGUUGGUGAGGUAACGGCUCACCAAGGCAACGAUGCGUAGCCGACCUGAGAGGGUGAUCGGCCACACUGGGACUGAGACACGGCCCAGACUCCUACGGGAGGCAGCAGUAGGGAAUCUUCCGCAAUGGACGAAAGUCUGACGGAGCAACGCCGCGUGAGUGAUGAAGGCUUUCGGGUCGUAAAACUCUGUUGUUAGGGAAGAACAAGUGCUAGUUGAAUAAGCUGGCACCUUGACGGUACCUAACCAGAAAGCCACGGCUAACUACGUGCCAGCAGCCGCGGUAAUACGUAGGUGGCAAGCGUUAUCCGGAAUUAUUGGGCGUAAAGCGCGCGCAGGUGGUUUCUUAAGUCUGAUGUGAAAGCCCACGGCUCAACCGUGGAGGGUCAUUGGAAACUGGGAGACUUGAGUGCAGAAGAGGAAAGUGGAAUUCCAUGUGUAGCGGUGAAAUGCGUAGAGAUAUGGAGGAACACCAGUGGCGAAGGCGACUUUCUGGUCUGUAACUGACACUGAGGCGCGAAAG